rnacentral:rRNA from 1 species
CAGCCGUAAACUAUGCUCGCUAGGUGUCAGGCAUGGCGCGACCGUGUCUGGUGCCGCAGGGAAGCCGUGAAGCGAGCCACCUGGGAAGUACGGCCGCAAGGCUGAACUUAAGGAUUGGCGGGGGAGCACAACAACGGGUGGAGCCUGCGGUUUAAUUGGACUCAACGCCGGGAAGCUCACCGGAUAAGACAGCGGAAUGAUUGCCGGGCUGAAGACUCUGCAUGACUAGCUGAGAGGAGGUGCAUGGCGUAGACGUCU